UACGAAGGGGCGUAGCGUUGCUCGGAAGUUAACUUGGGCGGUAAAGGGACGGCGUAGGCGGACGAGUUUAGUCAGAGGUGAAAGCCCCAGGGCGUCAACCUUGGAAUAGCCUUUGAUACUGACUGUCUUGAGUACGGGAGAGGUGUGUGGAACUCCGAGUGUAGAGGUGAAAUUCGUAGAUAUUCGGAAGAACACCAGUGGCGAAGGCGACACACUGGCCCGUUACUGACGCUGAGGCGCGAAAGCGUGGGGAGCAAACAGGAUUAGAUACCCGUGUAGU
rnacentral:rRNA from 1 species